GGAGGGUGCAAGCGUUGUUCGGAAUUAUUGGGCGUAAAGAGCGUGUAGGCGGUUCGGUAAGUCAGAUGUGAAAGCCCUGGGCUCAACCCAGGAAGUGCAUUUGAAACUACCAGACUUGAGUACGGGAGAGGAGGGGGGAAUUCCCGGUGCAGAGGUGAAAUUCGUAGAUAUCGGGAGGAAUACCAGUGGCGAAGGCGCCCCUCUGGACCGAUACUGACGCUGAGACGCGAAAGCGUGGGGAGCAAACAGGAUUAGAUACCCUGGUAGUCCACGCCGUAAACGAUGAGCACUAGGUGUAGCGGGUAUUGACCCCCUGCUGUGCCGUAGCUAACGCAUUAAGUGCUCCGCCUGGGGGCUACGGUCGCAAGCUA
rnacentral:rRNA from 1 species